CUAGUAAUACAGUCUAUGGGCAGCUGAAGAGUCUGGCUCAUUUUCAAAUAAUGUUACCGUUAACUUUUUGAGCCAACGGUCACGGUAGCGAUUUUUUUUAACAUUAAUGUUAACGCCUUAAUGCGUUUUCAGAAGUUUCUCGGAGGGAAAAUGUAAAAGCGGAUUAUUAAAGAGAAGUCCUGACUGCUUUUUCACCGUGUUUUUCACUCUUUUACAGGCUUUCAGAAAUAAUCCGGUGAAAUAAUAUGGUGAGCUAUUGGUGCUGUUGCUUCUGAACUACAAAAUGAUUUUUAAAUUUAUUAUUGAAUGAGACUGUACAUUAUAAAUGUAAUGCUUUAACUCUAGAUGUUUGUUUGUGUGAAUGCUGUGUGUGCGUUGAGUCCUGCGCGAGCGGGGAGCAGAGUUGCCAUGGAAACGGGGCAUCAACACAAAAACCGUUACUGGCAUCGUCCAGACUGCACUCUGGGAUACUUGAGCAGUUAUCUCCGUCUCUCGCUGCAGUUUACACUGUUUUGGAAACAGUUUAGUGUCUUCGGAAAUGUCCGUUAUCAUUUUAGCAGUUUUCAGGUAGGCUAACUAUAUAGAUUGAGCUCUUGUUGAUGAAACUCUGGGCUUUUAAUCAAAUCUUCGAUUUGAUUAAAACAAAAUGAUUUUUAAAUUAAUUAUUGAAUGAUUAUUGAAUGAGACUGUACUUUAUAAAUGUAAUGUUUUAACUCUAGAUGUUUGUUUGUGUAAAUGCUGUGUGCGCGUUGAGUCCUGCGCGAGCGGGGAGCAGAGUUGCCAUGGAAACGGGGCGUCAACACAAAAACCGUUACUGGCAAGCGGUAAUCUCCGUCUCUCGCUGCAGUUUACACUGUUUUGGAAACGGUUUAGUUUCUUCGAAAAAGUCCGUUAGCAUCUUAGCAGUUUUCAGGAGGACAGAAAGAAACUCUACAGAACAGAAGUGAAGCUCCAAGAUUUCAACAUUUCUGAAGGGAGAUUCUGACUUAGAAAUACAGGUGACCUGAAGAAGCUCAUGAAAAACAUGAAUAUGCCUUUUUCAGAAUACAUUUCACCAAUUUUAAGAAGUCCCUGACAUCAUGACCUUGUUUCCUUCUAAUGAACCUGGAACUGCAGAGUAAAUAUUGUUGACUCUGUGUCAGAUUGCUUGUUUUGUUCCUGGAUUCUUCAGUGAUGACGAUCAGAGUCUGAGUGAACCUGCUGUCAGACAGGUUGGCCUGAUUGACGAUGUCAUCGUCCAUCGCCGAUAGCUGAUAGACAUCACGAUGCUGCGCUGGCAAACAGCGUCAUCAGCUGCAGUAUCUCGCGCGUGCAUCUGUUGUCAUGCGACAGAGAAGUCACGUUCUAUAGACAGUUUCUAUAGACAGUUGUGAACGUGCUGACAGCUGGUUGCCCAGGCUAUGGAUUAAAGGUAAUACUGUUGGCCAGCAGAGCCCUGCUCACCCUGUCGGCCCACCGCUGCUGUCAGACAACAUCUCCAAGAUGCUAUAAACUGCAGGACUA